rnacentral:rRNA from 1 species
UACGUAGGGUGCGAGCGUUAAUCGGAAUUACUGGGCGUAAAGCGUGCGCAGGCGGUUUUGUAAGUCAGAUGUGAAAUCCCCGGGCUUAACCUGGGAACUGCGUUUGAAACUACAAGGCUAGAGUGUGGCAGAGGAAAGUGGAAUUCCCGGUGUAGUGGUGAUAUGCGUAGAUAUCGGGAGGAACACCUGUGGCGAAGGCGACUUUCUGGCCUGUUCUUGACGCUGAGGCGCGAAAGCUAGGGGAGCAAACGGG